rnacentral:rRNA from 1 species
AGCAGCCGCGGUAAUUCCAGCUCCAAUAGCGUAUAUUAAAGUUGUUGCAGUUAAAAAGCUCGUAGUUGAAUUUCGGGGUUAGUAGGUUGGUCGUGCCACUGGUGCGUACUGGUCUCACUGAUUCCUCCUUCCUGAUGAACUGUAAUGCCAUUAAUUUGGUGUUGCAGGGAAACUGGACUGUUACUUUGAAAAAAUUGAGUGUUUAAAGCAAGCUAACGCUUGAAUACAUUAGCAUGGAAUAAUGAAAUAGGACGUUCGAUCCUAUUUUGUUGGUUUCUAGGAUUGACGUAAUGAUUAAUAGGGAUAGUUGGGGGCAUUAGUAUUCAAUUGUCAGAGGUGAAAUUCUUGGAUUUAUUGAAGACUAACUACUGCGAAAGCAUUUGCCAAGGAUGUUUUCAUUAAUCAAGAACGAAAGUUAGGGGAUCGAAGACGAUCAGAUACCGUCGUAGUCUUAACCAUAAACUAUGCCGACUAGGGAUCGGAUGAUGUUAAUUUUUAAUGACUCAUUCGGCGCCUUAAC